CAAAUGAUAAUUCUUUUCCCCAGUAAAGAGAGCACAGGUGUGGGAAGGAAGGAGAAGGCGAUCUGGCCCGUUUACUCUAAGGUCUGGAUGUCUCAGAAUCACUUCCUGAGAUUGAGCUGCCUGAAUCCUAGUCUCUCCUCUGCUGAACGUUUUCCUAAUUCACUCAGCAAACACUGAGUAUCUUUUUCUGAGUCUGGCACUGUUCUGGGCACGGCUGGAGCAGCAGGGAGGAAACCGAAGCCAUUUUUCCUUGAAACUGAUGUCUUACGAGGGUGGUCGAAGAGUAACAUGUAACCACUGCCGUGUCUUCCUGUCUCUGCUGCUCCGCUGGGAAAGGUGAAUAUUUUCAGAGAAUAAAGUUCUCCUUAAACACUGCUGGUCACUGUCAUGUCAAUCAUCUCAUCCUCAGGUCGAGUGAUUCUGGCUCUCUAAAGUGCCCUGCAAGCGGAUUCCACGAGAAGAUGCUCCCUACCUGCAGGCGAUGAGACUGGCGACAGUAGACGCAGCCUGGCUCAAGGCUUGGGGACUGCGAUUUCCUGGUCUUAUCUCGAGCCAGAGCCCCGCCCCCUCACGGAAACCUCGCCCACCUCCGCUGACUCUAAAACCGAAGCCACCCAGCAGCUCUGAGGACAAGCUUAUUCCAUAGGAUUUCCUGCAGAUGACUUUAGAGUCAGCUAUGGGACAGAUAUUCACAGUUUAUAGAAAAACGAAACUAGGGUCCGGUUUGAUGGCACACGCCUUAAUUCCAGUACUCAGGAGGCAGAGGCUGGUGGAUCUCUGGUCUAUAGAGAGAGUUCCAGGACAACUGGGCUACUUCAGAGACCCAGUCGUUAAAAAUAAAAAAAAAAGAAAAAGAAAAAACAAACAAACAGAUAAACAAAAGCUAUUUAAAAACGAAACUAAAAGUGAAAGUGAAACUAGCAUUACCUUUCUUGUAAAUCAGGUUCCCUGAAAGAAACAAUCCGGAGUAAAUAACUCAGCUGUUUUUGGGGUGGGAGUGGAGCCUGGUAUCCAGGGUAGGAGAGGGAGGGUGUGCAUGGAGACCAGAGGUCCACAUAGGUUGUCUUCCUCUACAGCUCCCACCGUGUUUUUUUGAAAGAGGGUCUCUCAUACUUAACCUGAGCUCGCAGCUGGCUAGACUAGCCGGCCAGAGUGCUUCCAGGGGUCCCCACUCCCGCCUCUGGUGCCAGCACUGGGAUCUCAGACAUGGGCCAUCUCUGCUUUUAUUGUGGGCAAUGAAGAUCCGAAUUUCAAAUCUUCAUGCUUGAGCAGUGAGCGCUUUAGAAGCAAAAUAUCUGAAGUCAUAAAAUCUCUGACUUAAAUUUUAUCUUCAGAAUCCAGACACUUUAAAAUUGCCAUCCGGUUCCCCAUCUUUCAAGCCCUUUCUGGAUACCUGAGUGACAGUCUUGACAUAACUUUACAUAUAGAGUUACACAACCUAUAGAGUUAGUAACAGGCAAAUGACUCGGCUUUAAUUCUAGAAAGUAGGUGUGUCUGUAUAAUAGGAAAUAUAUUUUUAAAUCGUGGAUUUGGUGACUUCCUCAAAUUUCCUCGACAUAAUGAAACCAGUUGCCUUGCCCUUCAAGAACUUCCUAUCACGAAAUGUGCCCUUUGUGAGCGCUGUGGACCACUGCCGCUCUCGGGAUCCAGGUGGGGAAAAUCUAUUCUAGGUGAUGUUGAGAAAGCCCUUCUGCGAACUGGAAAUGUGGGCUUUUUCCAAGACAAAAACCAUGGGAACUCCACAGAGCACUGUCAUCAUUUAAACAUUUCACUGUUGGACUUCGAGGACCUUCUUCAUUCUCUGCUUUCCCCACGAAUUCACUAAAACUACUAUCCUAAAGUAGUGCAUUGAAUGAAUAUUGGGGUGUCCGCUGGGCUUGGUUGCAAUGAGAUUUUCACAUUCUCAAAGCAUCUCCAUUUUCAAACGUGGAAGUCAUUGGAGAUGACACUGCCUUAAGUGUCUAUAGUGACUGUGGAACUCUCAACAGCAUCAAUAAAACUGGAAUAAGAGCAGAGCCUCAGCUGAGAUAGUCCCUCUUCCAAAUGUCUUUUGAACUCCAAUAAUAGAAUAAAGCAAUUUUCCUAACCUCA